ACAGGGAGACAGGUGGUGCAUGGUUGUCGUCAGCUCGUGUCGUGAGAUGUUGGGUUAAGUCCCGCAACGAGCGCAACCCUACGUUUAGUUGCUAACGCGUGAAGGCGAGCACUCUAGACGAACUGCCGUUGACAAAACGGAGGAAGGUGGGGAUGACGUCAAAUCAUCAUGCCCCUUAUGUUCUGGGCUACACACGUGCUACAAUGGCCGGUACAGACGGACGCAAAGCCGCGAGGUGGAGCAAAUCCUAAAAAGCCGGUCUCAGUUCGGAUUGCAGGCUGCAAUUCGCCUGCAUGAAGUCGGAAUCGCUAGUAAUCGCAGGUCAGCACGCUGCGGUGAAUAAGUUCUCGGGUUUU
rnacentral:rRNA from 1 species